CAGGAAGUGAAGAGGAUGGAGUACCGGGGAGACCCUUCCUAGACCCUUCCUAGACCCUUCCUAGAGGUCUCAGCCCUGGGACUAGGCCAGGACAGUUGUCAGGACACAGCUGCUGCUCCACCCUGAUGGUUCUGAGGACGCGGGUCCUUGGCUUGGCUUCCUGAGUCUUGGGGAAGUGGGGCUAAGCCACCCCAGGGCUGUCAGGGAGGGGCUGGCAGCAGGGGCCGAUGGCCCUGAGUCUGUCCUUCCCAGGAGAGCGGCAUCUCAAGACAACUCCAGGCUUUGUGGCUCUCAGCCCGAGAUUCUCCUGGUGCAUUACAAAAUUCCCUGAUUCUGAAGUGCCCUAAGUCUGGGAUUCUGCCAAGUCGAAAUGGAGUUCGUUUUGCUCUAGAUUCCAAGAGUCGAGCCCUCCACAACAUCGGGAUUCUCUGAGCCUGAACUCCUCCAGGCUUCCAGUGUUUGGUGAUUGCCCUGGCUGAGGCUGAGGGUCUAGCAAACAGGCCAAAGCUGCCCACCCUCACUUGACCCCCAGGCCUAGCCUCUCACCUGGGCCCAUGGCCACAGCCAGGAUGACGAGGAGCAGCAGGACCGUCUUCAUACCGAGCAUCAUCUGGGAGCAGUGGGGGCCCCUCCUCUGGGGAGGACUUAUAGUUGGGAUGGUGCCGUGGAGGGUGUGGGGUGGCAGCCCGCCAGCCAGUGGCAUGCCAUCUGGACCUGCCUCACUCUGCCUGGUCCACACCCACCAGCCCCACUCAUGCCUGGCUCCUGCCAGCUGGAAGGACACUGCCCCUAGCCCACCUCUCUGGGCCUAGCCAGGGCUGGGUGUGCAUAGGGCCUCCGUGUCCGUCCUGCCCUGCGGCUCCCUGCUUCUGCUCAGUCCCCUCAUUGUCUGUCUGCUGGUCCUGGGUCACAUUGUCUCUAACCAUCUACCUGGUCUGUCACCUUGUGUCUUUGCCCUGCAUUUCCCAACCCCAGAGAGGUCCUUCAAGCCACAGCUUGUCCCAGAUGCUCUGGGGAACCCACUGCAGGGAGGCAGGGGAGAGGCGCUGACCUUGCCUGCCUGGGUUCUGACUCAGGGUGCUGGGUCAGCCCCGUG
rnacentral:lncRNA from 1 species